rnacentral:rRNA from 1 species
CCACACUGUAACAGGGGGAUAACCCGGAGAAAUCCGGACUAAUACCCCAUAAUAUGGGCGCUCCGCAUGGAGAGUUCAUUAAAGAGAGCAAUUUUGGUUACAGACGAGCAUGCGCUCCAUUAGCCAGUUGGCGGGGUAACGGCCCACCAAAGCGACGAUGGAUAGGGGUUCUGAGAGGAAGGUCCCCCACAUUGGAACUGAGACACGGUCCAAACUCCUACGGGAGGCAGCAGUGAGGAAUAUUGGUCAAUGGUCGGCAGACUGAACCAGCCAAGUCGCGUGAGGGAAGACGGCCCUACGGGUUGUAAACCUCUUUUGUCGGAGAGUAAAGUACGCUACGUGUAGCGUAUUGCAAGUAUCCGAAGAAAAAGCAUCGGCUAACUCCGUGCCAGCAGCCGCGGUAAUACGGAGGAUGCGAGCGUUAUCCGGAUUUAUUGGGUUUAAAGGGUGCGUAGGCGGCACGCCAAGUCAGCGGUGAAAUUUCCGGGCUCAACCCGGAGUGUGCCGUUGAAACUGGCGAGCUAGAGURCACAAGAGGCAGGCGGAAUGCGUGGUGUAGCGGUGAAAUGCAUAGAUAUCACGCAGAACCCCGAUUGCGAAGGCAGCCUGCUAGGGUGAAACAGACGCUGAGGCACGAAAGCGUGGGGUAUCGAACAGGAUUAGAUACCCUGGUAGUCCACGCAGUAAACGAUGAAUACUAACUGUUUGCGAUACAAUGUAAGCGGUACAGCGAAAGCGUUAAGUAUUCCACCUGGGGAGUACGCCGGCAACGGUGAAACUCAAAGGAAUUGACGGGGGCCCGCACAAGCGGAGGAACAUGUGGUUUAAUUCGAUGAUACGCGAGGAACCUUACCCGGGCUCAAACGCAGGGGGAAUAUAUAUGAAAGUAUANAGCUAGCAAUAGUCACCUGCGAGGUGCUGCAUGGUUGUCGUCAGCUCGUGCCGUGAGGUGUCGGCUUAAGUGCCAUAACGAGCGCAACCCCUAUGGACAGUUACUAACGGGUGAAGCCGAGGACUCUGUCGAGACUGCCGGCGCAAGCCGCGAGGAAGGUGGGGAUGACGUCAAAUCAGCACGGCCCUUACGUCCGGGGCGACACACGUGUUACAAUGGCAGGUACAGAAGGCAGCCAGUCAGCAAUGACGCGCGAUAUCCCGAAAACCUGUCUCAGUUCGGAUUGGAGUCUGCAACCCGACUACCAUGAAGCU